CAGCAGCCGCGGGAAUACGAAGGGCGCAAGCGUUAAUCGGAAUUACUGGGCGUAAAGCGUGCGCAGGCGGUUAUAUAAGUCAGAUGUGAAAUCCCCGGGCUCAACCUGAGAACUGCAUUUGAGACUGUAUGUCUAGAGUGUGUCAGAGGGGGGUAGAAUUCCACGUGUAGCAGUGAAAUGCGUAGAUAUGUGGAGGAAUACCGAUGGCGAAGGCGGCCCCCUGGACAAAGACUGACGCUCAGGUGCGAAAGCGUGGGGAGCAAACAGGAUUAGAUACCCCAGUAGUCCCUGUCUCUUAUAC
rnacentral:rRNA from 1 species